UCACAAAUUAAAAAUAUACAUAAAUCUCUCAAAAAAAAAAAGAUUUACAAAAAUCCCUCAACUUCCCAAACAAGCUGAUUUACAAUUUUAAUAGGACAGGUCUGCCCUUCCUUAAUGAAAUAACGCACAGAUGAGAGUUUCUUUCCUUCUAAGCUUCCAAAAUUCAUCUUCAACCUCAAUCUCAAACCAAAAUCACGUCAUUGCAGCAUCUAAAAGCACGAAAUUCUUUUACGAUCAACACAGCAGCCAUUAAUCAUCAGACGAUUACAUAUAACUUUCGAUUUUGAAAAAUUCGAGCUACAAAUCAUCAAGAACAACAAGGUUGGAAUUGGGUCAUGUUCUAAAGGAGAUGUUAGGACGUAUUGCUGCGAUUAAACCCGCACAACAUGUCGAUGAGAUUGACAAAAUGAGUUAAAUAUAAGAAUGGAAAGUUCACAGUUAACUUAGCUUAUCAUGUUGCAGCUGGGGAAGACAGUGUGACGACCAAUAAUUGUUCCUUAGUUUGGAAAUGGCAAGGUCCAGUGCGUAUCCAUAUUUUCUUGUGGCUACUUGCUGAAAUUUGGGGAGCUUAGUACAUCUUGAGUAUGGCUUAGGAAACAUGAAUUAGAGUUGUUGUCUUGGAGAUCGACAAUGAAACAGUUGUGGAACGUUUUCAAUCAAGAACUCAAGUAGAUAAUUACAGUCUGAUUAAUAGUUGCAGGAUGAUGCUUGAUAAACCUUGAUACAUUGAGGUUAUUCAUGUUUUUAAAGAGGGCAAUAAAAGUGCAGAUGCUAAGGCUAAUUUUGCAAAAAGUUUAUCACCAUUUUAUCAUGAGUAUAAAGUGUUAAUGAGAUUGUAAUUCAGGAUAUUAUGGGAAUUUCAUUCGCUGGAAUGUGUAUAAAAUAGCCUUUUGAUA